AUGAACGCUAGCGACAGGCUUAACACAUGCAAGUCGAGGGGCAGCAUGAUUUGUAGCAAUACAGAUUGAUGGCGACCGGCGCACGGGUGAGUAACGCGUAUGCAACUUACCUAUCAGAGGGGGAUAGCCCGGCGAAAGUCGGAUUAAUACCCCAUAAAACAGGGGUCCCGCAUGGGAAUAUUUGUUAAAGAUUCAUCGCUGAUAGAUAGGCAUGCGUUCCAUUAGGCAGUUGGCGGGGUAACGGCCCACCAAACCGACGAUGGAUAGGGGUUCUGAGAGGAAGGUCCCCCACAUUGGUACUGAGACACGGACCAAACUCCUACGGGAGGCAGCAGUGAGGAAUAUUGGUCAAUGGCCGAGAGGCUGAACCAGCCAAGUCGCGUGAAGGAAGAAGGAUCUAUGGUUUGUAAACUUCUUUUAUAGGGGAAUAAAGUGGAGGACGUGUCCUUUUUUGUAUGUACCCUAUGAAUAAGCAUCGGCUAACUCCGUGCCAGCAGCCGCGGUAAUACGGAGGAUGCGAGCGUUAUCCGGAUUUAUUGGGUUUAAAGGGUGCGUAGGUGGUGAUUUAAGUCAGCGGUGAAAGUUUGUGGCUCAACCAUAAAAUUGCCGUUGAAACUGGGUUACUUGAGUGUGUUUGAGGUAGGCGGAAUGCGUGGUGUAGCGGUGAAAUGCAUAGAUAUCACGCAGAACUCCGAUUGCGAAGGCAGCUUACUAAACCAUAACUGACACUGAAGCACGAAAGCGUGGGGAUCAAACAGGAUUAGAUACCCUGGUAGUCCACGCAGUAAACGAUGAUUACUAGGAGUUUGCGAUACAAUGUAAGCUCUACAGCGAAAGCGUUAAGUAAUCCACCUGGGGAGUACGCCGGCAACGGUGAAACUCAAAGGAAUUGACGGGGACCCGCACAAGCGGUGGAGCAUGUGGUUUAAUUCGACGCAACGCGAAGAACCUUACCAGGUCUUGACAUCAAGUGACCGCCUAAGAGAUUAGGCUUUCCCUUCGGGGACACAAAGACAGGUGGUGCAUGGUUGUCGUCAGCUCGUGUCGUGAGAUGUUGGGUUAAGUCCCGCAACGAGCGCAACCCUUAUCACUAGUUACUAACAGGUGAAGCUGAGGACUCUGGUGAGACUGCCAGCGUAAGCUGUGAGGAAGGUGGGGAUGACGUCAAAUCAGCACGGCCCUUACAUCCGGGGCGACACACGUGUUACAAUGGCAUGGACAAAGGGCAGCUACCUGGUGACAGGAUGCUAAUCUCCAAACCAUGUCUCAGUUCGGAUCGGAGUCUGCAACUCGACUCCGUGAAGCUGGAUUCGCUAGUAAUCGCGCAUCAGCCAUGGCGCGGUGAAUACGUUCCCGGGCCUUGUACACACCGCCCGUCAAGCCAUGGGAGCCGGGGGUACCUGAAGUCCGUAACCGCAAGGAUCGGCCUAGGGUAAAACUGGUGACUGGGGCU
rnacentral:rRNA from 1 species